rnacentral:rRNA from 1 species
AUGAACGCUAGCGGCAGGCUUAACACAUGCAAGUCGAGGGGCAGCGGGGAGUAGCAAUACUCCGCCGGCGACCGGCGCACGGGUGCGUAACGCGUAUGCAACCUACCUUUAACAGGGGCAUAACACUGAGAAAUUGGUACUAAUUCCCCAUAACAUUCGAGAAGGCAUCUUCUUGGGUUAAAAACUCCGGUGGUUAAAGAUGGGCAUGCGUUGUAUUAGCUAGUUGGUGAGGUAACGGCUCACCAAGGCAACGAUACAUAGGGGGACUGAGAGGUUAACCCCCCACAUUGGUACUGAGACACGGACCAAACUCCUACGGGAGGCAGCAGUGAGGAAUAUUGGUCAAUGGACGCAAGUCUGAACCAGCCAUGCCGCGUGCAGGAAGACGGCUCUAUGAGUUGUAAACUGCUUUUGUACUAGGGUAAACGCUUCUACGUGUAGGAGCCUGAAAGUAUAGUACGAAUAAGGAUCGGCUAACUCCGUGCCAGCAGCCGCGGUAAUACGGAGGAUCCAAGCGUUAUCCGGAUUUAUUGGGUUUAAAGGGUGCGUAGGCGGUUUGAUAAGUUAGAGGUGAAAUACCGGGGCUCAACUCCGGAACUGCCUCUAAUACUGUUGAACUAGAGAGUAGUUGCGGUAGGCGGAAUGUAUGGUGUAGCGGUGAAAUGCUUAGAGAUCAUACAGAACACCGAUUGCGAAGGCAGCUUACCAAACUAUAUCUGACGUUGAGGCACGAAAGCGUGGGGAGCAAACAGGAUUAGAUACCCUGGUAGUCCACGCAGUAAACGAUGAUAACUCGUUGUCGGCGAUACACAGUCGGUGACUAAGCGAAAGCGAUAAGUUAUCCACCUGGGGAGUACGUUCGCAAGAAUGAAACUCAAAGGAAUUGACGGGGGCCCGCACAAGCGGUGGAGCAUGUGGUUUAAUUCGAAGCAACGCGAAGAACCUUACCAGGUCUUGACAUCGAUCUAAAGGCUCCAGAGAUGGAGAGAUAGCUAUAGAGAAGACAGGUGGUGCAUGGUUGUCGUCAGCUCGUGCCGUGAGGUGUCGGGUUAAGUCCCAUAACGAGCGCAACCCCUACCGUUAGUUGCCAUCAGGUCAAGCUGGGCACUCUGGCGGGACUGCCGGUGUAAGCCGAGAGGAAGGUGGGGAUGACGUCAAAUCAGCACGGCCCUUACGUCCGGGGCUACACACGUGUUACAAUGGUAGGUACAGAGGGCCGCUACCCCGCGAGGGGAUGCCAAUCUCGAAAGCCUAUCUCAGUUCGGAUCGGAGGCUGAAACCCGCCUCCGUGAAGUUGGAUUCGCUAGUAAUCGCGCAUCAGCCAUGGCGCGGUGAAUACGUUCCCGGGCCUUGUACACACCGCCCGUCAAGCCAUGGAAGCUGGGGGUGCCUGAAGUUCGUGACCGCAAGGAGCGACCUAGGGCAAAACCGGUGACUGGGGCU